AUCUUCAGGAGAGCAGGAGAACGUCAAGUGGGUUUUAAAUGUCAGCGCCGUUGUGUGCAGAAGAUAGUUAGAGACGCCAAGACCUGCCUUACGUUGCUUCUGAUUGGUUUAUAUCGUGUGGUGCCUUCCUUGGUUGGUUUGAUUUAGGCACCAAGGACUGAUGAAUUGGUCUGGGGUUGGUUAUCUCGGUCAGUCAAUCAGAGUUACUCAAACUACAGCAAGCCAAGUUUAUUAUCAUGAAAAAAAUAAAUACAGAGUAUUGAAUGGGGGGAAAUAAGCGUGGAAAUGUCAAGUGUGGCGUGUGGUGUGAGAAUGGGUCAAAUAUUGCGUGACUGUCACACUCAAAGUGUGACGCUUGGCAGCUGUGAAGUAUGGCACCAGGCAAGUAUUAUGAAUGGCCACCUUAUGGCCUUGCCUAUGAUCAGAUUGCAGGAUUUAUCUGGUAAUAGAUUUCCCCAAUAGAUUUUUUUUAACUCUGACUCAAUGUUUGGAAAGUUUGUAUAAAGUUGAAAAAGAAUAUUUCAAAUUUGGAAUGGGCUAAUUUAACAUAAACUUCAGACGCUUACUAUUAUGACUGUAUUUUAUCGUUAUGUUUGUCCUGGAUUUGGGUUCCCACUAAUGUUAAAUCAUUACGCAUUUUCUUGUCUUGCACAGAAAGCUCAAAUUUGGAGCUUAAAAGUGCAAAAGCUGAGAUUUCUGGAAGUGUGACAAAGAUGACAAUAAUGUUCGACACAUAGCCUACAUCCUGGUUAUCAGAAAAGCUUUUACAGUCGCUCACUUUACGCCUUAUUUCCCACACAUGGUGGCUGUCUAAACACUGGGCUUGUCACUUUGGCCGAAUGACAGCCUGCUGUUAGUCUCAGGGGUACCCUGACUGCGCCGUCACCUCCACCUGGCUGUCUGGCUACAACCGCGAACAAAAAAAGCAGCAUGUAAGGAAAGAUUAACGACACGGGAACUGAUGUCACAGCGAAAAUACCCACAUAUGAUGUAUCGAACGGUUAGAGAUAAUGGAUGUAGGAUGUUGCCGAGCUCAAGCCCCGGUGAUGAGCCAUUUACUAAAUAGAUCAGUCUACCUUAUGGGGUCAUGAGACUGUGAGCAAAGUGGUGAACCUGCAAAUGUUGAGUGGUGAAAUAGCUGUUCUCUUUAAUCCCUCUCCAUGAGCAGAACCCAUCCCUGUGGGGGGGAAAGCAGCAGGAUCACAUUACCCAUGGACCAGUUUUCAUCGUACAGAAACCCACGCUCCGCCUCACUCCACCGGCUCGCAUAAUUGGAAGCAUCUUGGCAUGAAGAUAGAGUCAAGGUGGCAUAUCAAUGGGCGCGUACUCCAAGGGCAUGCAGAUAAGAAAAGGCUGUUUCUCUUUACAGGUUUGGUCCAUGAUGGGGUCACUGGCCCUCCACUGAAGACCGCGUAGUGACUCACAUACGAAUAGCCACGGCUGAUCGGUGGCGUGAAGCACGGGUAGUACAGUUCACUCUCAGUGUCAGUCAUCCCUAACGCCAAAAAGAAACUGUUUUGUUACCAGGUCAUGUCUCAUUUUUUAUGCGUGUUUAGCAGCAGAGCAUCUCUGCAAAGUGAGAGAUGAGAUUUUCACGGUAACUCUACUCACUGAUGAAAAUGACUGAUGAUUGGCAGUUUGCAAUGUUACUCCGCUGAUGUUCACCGCUGAGACCUCUGCAGAUAAGGGACUCUGUGUCUACCCAGCACUGAUAUGUUUGCUGCUGAGGAGCAUUGAUGGGUUUAUAGAGUUAAACACUAUUCAUUUAACUCUGUAUCACUGACUAAGAGUUGGAUUUUUUGGAGGGAUCUGAACAACAAAAAGGUACAAAAAGUGGUCAAAUAAUAAAUGUCCUUAUUAUUGGUCAAUGUGGAAUAAUAAUGAUGAGGAUUGAAACACUGAUCUUUCAUUUCCCAUAACUUCAUUUGCAAAAUUAGACCUUGACUGUGAGGUUAAGGUCUAAUAAUAAAAUUAUCCCUCAUGUAUCUCAAAGUUCUGACAUCCAGUGUGUUUGUAAGUCAAACUAAAGCAAAAGUUAUGCAAUGACUCUUUGAAUGCAGGACCCAUAAGUAGAAACUUGAGCCUUUUUCACUAGAUCAUAGGUGAGUGUCUAAAAACACAGCAGGUAAUGCAUCUCACUGAUAGCUGUCACCAUUGAC